rnacentral:lncRNA from 1 species
UACAAGAGAAAAUUCUCUUUCUGGUUGCCUUGAAUAAUUUGACAGCAAAGUGAUUACCUGCAGGAGGGCAGAGAAAAACAUGCUGAGGGACAACAUCAUAAUGAAAACCUAUGUGCCAAAUAAUGACCAGAGUCCUCAUUUUUCUCCUUAAUAUUUGCUAAGGCUGAACCACCUGAAUAGGCUUGUUUUAUGAUGGGAAUCAUAAAGGGUGCAUCUCCCUGCCAGGAUUGUCAUUUUGAGAGGAGUGUAGGAGGUUGGCAUUGACAUCCCCAGCACAAAUGACAUGCCAUUCACAUUCCAAGACAGGGCCUUCCCUCUGAGCUAUUUCUGCAUUUUUAUAGCUCAUUUUCACUACUAGGAAUACAGUCAAUACAGGGUAUCUUCAUUAUGCAACUAUGGUGGUGAAUAAGGAAAGAAACAGGACAAUUCCCAGCAUACAUAAGAAUUCUGCUGGCAGACACCCAUCUGUGAAGUGGAGAAGCUUUGGCGAGGUAUCUACUAUUGCUUGCAUCUUUCCAAAUGAAUUCUGCCAGCCCAAAGGCCUGUAAAUCACAGAUAUUGAAAAUGAGAGCAAGAAAUAAAACCCCUGGUUUCCCUGUGAGCUGUAGCCA